UGGUCUAGGGAGUGCUAGCACCAGGAUAACCGGCUUGUGACAGCCAAGCGUUCAUAGUGACGUUACUUUUGAUCCUUCGGUGUUGGACCCUUGUAUCACACUGAAGCAAAAUUCAGUAAGCGUUGGAUUGUUCACCCUCUCACUAAUAGAGAAUGUGGGCUGGGCUUAGAUCGUCGUGAGACAGGUUAGUUAUACCCUACUGAUGAGAUGUUGCAAUAGUAAUUGAACUUAGUACGAGAGGAACCGAUCAUUCGGAUAGUUGGUAUUUUGGCCCGCCUGAGCAGGCGAUGGCCCAAAGUUAUCAUCCAUUGGGUUAUGCCUGAACGCCUCUAAGUCAUAACCCGUGCUCUAACGCGAUGAAUACCGCCUUUUCCGAUUUUUAGUUAAAUACGAAUAGAUCUUGGAAUCCUGAACCAUACUAUGUGGGGUUAUCUUGCAGAGCGGAAAUGCAUUGUGAGGUUCCUGCUAAUGUUAAUUUCAUUGGAAGAGAAAAAUCCAUUGCAGACGACUUUUAAGCAACGGUGUAUUGUAAACAGUAGAGCCGGUCUGUUGUGUCGAUCUACUGAGAUUAAGCACUAUGUUGUAAAGGUUU
rnacentral:ncRNA from 1 species